GCCAGCAUGGUGUAGUGGUCUGAGCACUGCACUAUGAUUCUGGACAUCAGGGUUCAAUUCCCUGUUCGGCCG